UACGUAGGGGGCCAGCGUUGUCCGGAAUCAUUGGGCGUAAAGCGCGCGUAGGCGGUCAGGUAAGUCCGGUGUGAAAGUCAAAGGCUCAACCUUUGAAUGCCGCUGGAUACUGCUUGACUUGAGUCCGGAAGGGGCGAGUGGAAUUCCUGGUGUAGCGGUGAAAUGCGCAGAUAUCAGGAGGAACACCAAUGGCGAAGGCAGCUCGCUGGAACGGUACUGACGCUGAGACGCGAAAGCGUGGGGAGCGAACAGG
rnacentral:rRNA from 1 species